GUGCUCACUUCAGCAGUGCAUAUACUAAAAUUGGAAUGAUACAGAAAAGAUUUGCAUGGCACCUGCACAAGCAUG
ensembl:snRNA U6 U6 spliceosomal RNA